GUGCCUACGGGGCGCAGCAGUGGGGAAUAUUGCACAAUGGGGGAAACCCUGAUGCAGUGACGCCGCGUGAGUGAAGAAGUAUUUCGGUAUGUAAAGCUCUAUCAGCAGGGAAGAAAAUGACGGUACCUGACUAAGAAGCCCCGGCUAACUACGUGCCAGCAGCCGCGGUAAUACGUAGGGGGCAAGCGUUAUCCGGAUUUACUGGGUGUAAGGGAGCGCAGGCGGCAAGGUAAGCCAGAAGUGAAAGCCCGCGGCUCAACU
rnacentral:rRNA from 1 species